rnacentral:rRNA from 1 species
GACAAACCUGGUUGAUCCUGCCAGUAGUCAUAUGCUUGUCUCAAAGAUUAAGCCAUGCAUGUCUCAGUACAAGCCAAAUUAAGGUGAAACCGCGAAAGGCUCAUUAAAUCAGUUAUGGUUCCUUAGAUCGUACCAACAUUUACUUGGAUAACUGUGGUAAUUCUAGAGCUAAUACAUGCAAACAGAGCUCCGACCGGAGACGGAAGGAGCGCUUUUAUUAGAUCAAAACCAAUCGGCGGCGUGCUCGCUUUGCGGGCACGUCGUCGUUCGCAUUGACGAAUCUGAAUAACUUUCUGCUGAUCGCACGGUCUCGCACCGGCGACGCAUCUUUCAAAUGUCUGCCUUAUCAACUGUCGAUGGUAGGUUCUGUGCCUACCAUGGUUGUAACGGGUAACGGGGAAUCAGGGUUCGAUUCCGGAGAGGGAGCCUGAGAAACGGCUACCACAUCCAAGGAAGGCAGCAGGCGCGCAAAUUACCCACUCCCGGCACGGGGAGGUAGUGACGAAAAAUAACGAUACGGGACUCAUCCGAGGCCCCGUAAUCGGAAUGAGAACAAUUUAAAUCCUUUAACGAGGAUCAAUUGGAGGGCAAGUCUGGUGCCAGCAGCCGCGGUAAUUCCAGCUCCAAUAGCGUAUAUUAAAGUUGUUGCGGUUAAAAAGCUCGUAGUCGAAUCUGUGUCCCGCGCCGCCGGUUCGUCGCUCGCGGCGUUUAACUGGCGUGUCCGCGGGACGUCCUGCCGGUGGGCUUAGACCUCUCGCGAGGUCGGCCCAAUCAUAAUCCCGCCGCGGUGCUCUUCACCGAGUGUCGAGGCGGGCCGGCACGUUUACUUUGAACAAAUUAGAGUGCUUAAAGCAGGCUAAAACUUCGCCUGAAUACUUCGUGCAUGGAAUAAUGGAAUAGGACCUCGGUUCUAUUUUGUUGGUUUUCGGAACCCCGAGGUAAUGAUUAAUAGGAACGGAUGGGGGCAUUCGUAUUGCGACGUUAGAGGUGAAAUUCUUGGAUCGUCGCAAGACGGACAGAAGCGAAAGCAUUUGCCAAAGAA